GGUAAUGGUAACAGGUUAGUGAUGGUGGUAGUAGGAGUGGUAUGGGUGGUAAUGGUAACAGGUUAGUGAUGGUGGUAGUAGGAGUGGUAUGGGUGGUAAUGGUAACAGGUUAGUGAUGGUGGUAGUAGGAGUGGUAUGGGUGGUAAUGGUAACAGGUUAGUGAUGGUGGUAGUAGGAGUGGUAUGGGUGGUAAUGGUAACAGGUUAGUGAUGGUGGUAGUAGGAGUGGUAUGGGUGGUAAUGGUAACAGGUUAGUGAUGGUGGUAGUAGGAGUGGUAUGGGUGGUAAUGGUAACAGGUUAGUGAUGGUGGUAGUAGGAGUGGUAUGGGUGGUAAUGGUAACAGGUUAGUGAUGGUGGUAGUAGGAGUGGUAUGGGUGGUAAUGGUAACAGGUUAGUGAUGGUGGUAGUAGGAGUGGUAUGGGUGGUAAUGGUAACAGGUUAGUGAUGGUGGUAGUAGGAGUGGUAUGGGUGGUAAUGGUAACAGGUUAGUGAUGGUGGUAGUAGUAGUGGUAUGGGUGGUAAUGGUAACAGGUUAGUGAUGGUGGUAGUAGGAGUGGUAUGGGUGGUAAUGGUAACAGGUUAGUGAUGGUGGUAGUAGGAGUGGUAUGGGUGGUAAUGGUAACAGGUUAGUGAUGGUGGUAGUAGGAGUGGUAUGGGUGGUAAUGGUAACAGGUUAGUGAUGGUGGUAGUAGGAGUGGUAUGGGUGGUAAUGGUAACAGGUUAGUGAUGGUGGUAGUAGGAGUGGUAUGGGUGGUAAUGGUAACAGGUUAGUGAUGGUGGUAGUAGGAGUGGUAUGGGUGGUAAUGGUAACAGGUUAGUGAUGGUGGUAGUAGGAGUGGUAUGGGUGGUAAUGGUAACAGGUUAGUGAUGGUGGUAGUAGGAGUGGUAUGGGUGGUAAUGGUAACAGGUUAGUGAUGGUGGUAGUAGGAGUGGUAUGGGUGGUAAUGGUAACAGGUUAGUGAUGGUGGUAGUAGGAGUGGUAUGGGUGGUAAUGGUAACAGGUUAGUGAUGGUGGUAGUAGGAGUGGUAUGGGUGGUAAUGGUAACAGGUUAGUGAUGGUGGUAGUAGUAGUGGUAUGGGUGGUAAUGGUAACAGGUUAGUGAUGGUGGUAGUAGGAGUGGUAUGGGUGGUAAUGGUAACAGGUUAGUGAUGGUGGUAGUAGGAGUGGUAUGGGUGGUAAUGGUAACAGGUUAGUGAUGGUGGUAGUAGGAGUGGUAUGGGUGGUAAUGGUAACAGGUUAGUGAUGGUGGUAGUAGGAGUGGUAUGGGUGGUAAUGGUAACAGGUUAGUGAUGGUGGUAGUAGGAGUGGUAUGGGUGGUAAUGGUAACAGGUUAGUGAUGGUGGUAGUAGGAGUGGUAUGGGUGGUAAUGGUAACAGGUUAGUGAUGGUGGUAGUAGGAGUGGUAUGGGUGGUAAUGGUAACAGGUUAGUGAUGGUGGUAGUAGUAGUGGUAUGGGUGGUAAUGGUAACAGGUUAGUGAUGGUGGUAGUAGUAGUGGUAUGGGUGGUAAUGGUAACAGGUUAGUGAUGGUGGUAGUAGGAGUGGUAUGGGUGGUAAUGGUAACAGGUUAGUGAUGGUGGUAGUAGGAGUGGUAUGGGUGGUAAUGGUAACAGGUUAGUGAUGGUGGUAGUAGGAGUGGUAUGGGUGGUAAUGGUAACAGGUUAGUGAUGGUGGUAGUAGGAGUGGUAUGGGUGGUAAUGGUAACAGGUUAGUGAUGGUGGUAGUAGGAGUGGUAUGGGUGGUAAUGGUAACAGGUUAGUGAUGGUGGUAGUAGUAGUGGUAUGGGUGGUAAUGGUAACAGGUUAGUGAUGGUGGUAGUAGUAGUGGUAUGGGUGGUAAUGGUAACAGGUUAGUGAUGGUGGUAGUAGGAGUGGUAUGGGUGGUAAUGGUAACAGGUUAGUGAUGGUGGUAGUAGGAGUGGUAUGGGUGGUAAUGGUAACAGGUUAGUGAUGGUGGUAGUAGUAGUGGUAUGGGUGGUAAUGGUAACAGGUUAGUGAUGGUGGUAGUAGGAGUGGUAUGGGUGGUAAUGGUAACAGGUUAGUGAUGGUGGUAGUAGGAGUGGUAUGGGUGGUAAUGGUAACAGGUUAGUGAUGGUGGUGGUAGUAGGAGUGGUAUGGGUGGUAAUGGUAACAGGUUAGUGAUGGUGGUAGUAGGAGUGGUAUGGGUGGUAAUGGUAACAGGUUAGUGAUGGUGGUAGUAGGAGUGGUAUGGGUGGUAAUGGUAACAGGUUAGUGAUGGUGGUAGUAGGAGUGGUAUGGGUGGUAAUGGUAACAGGUUAGUGAUGGUGGUAGUAGUAGUGGUAUGGGUGGUAAUGGUAACAGGUUAGUGAUGGUGGUAGUAGGAGUAGUAUGGGUGGUAAUGGUAACAGGUUAGUGAUGGUGGUAGUAGGAGUGGUAUGGGUGGUAAUGGUAACAGGUUAGUGAUGGUGGUAGUAGGAGUGGUAUGGGUGGUAAUGGUAACAGGUUAGUGAUGGUGGUAGUAGGAGUGGUAUGGGUGGUAAUGGUAACAGGUUAGUGAUGGUGGUAGUAGGAGUGGUAUGGGUGGUAAUGGUAACAGGUUAGUGAUGGUGGUAGUAGGAGUGGUAUGGGUGGUAAUGGUAACAGGUUAGUGAUGGUGGUAGUAGGCGUGGUAUGGGUGGUAAUGGUAACAGGUUAGUGAUGGUGGUAGUAGUAGUGGUAUGGGUGGUAAUGGUAACAGGUUAGUGAUGGUGGUAGUAGGAGUGGUAUGGGUGGUAAUGGUAACAGGUUAGUGAUGGUGGUAGUAGGAGUGGUAUGGGUGGUAAUGGUAACAGGUUAGUGAUGGUGGUAGUAGUAGUGGUAUGGGUGGUAAUGGUAACAGGUUAGUGAUGGUGGUAGUAGGAGUGGUAUGGGUGGUAAUGGUAACAGGUUAGUGAUGGUGGUAGUAGGAGUGGUAUGGGUGGUAAUGGUAACAGGUUAG